rnacentral:rRNA from 1 species
CCUACGGGAGGCAGCAGUGAGGAAUAUUGGUCAAUGGACGAGAGUCUGAACCAGCCAAGUAGCGUGAAGGAUGACUGCCCUAUGGGUUGUAAACUUCUUUUAUAUGGGAAUAAAACGUUCCACGUGUGGGAUUUUGUAUGUACCAUAUGAAUAAGGAUCGGCUAACUCCGUGCCAGCAGCCGCGGUAAUACGGAGGAUCCGAGCGUUAUCCGGAUUUAUUGGGUUUAAAGGGAGCGUAGGUGGAUUGUUAAGUCAGUUGUGAAAGUUUGCGGCUCAACCGUAAAAUUGCAGUUGAAACUGGCAGUCUUGAGUACAGUAGAGGUGGGCGGAAUUCGUGGUGUAGCGGUGAAAUGCUUAGAUAUCACGAAGAACUCCGAUUGCGAAGGCAGUUCACUGGACUGCAACUGACACUGAGGCUCGAAAGUAUGGGUAUCAAACAGGAUUAGAUACCCCAGUAGUC